ACUAGCAGUAAGAGUUUGAUCCUGGCUCAGAACGAACGCUGGCGGCAUGCCUAACACAUGCAAGUCGAACGAGACCUUCGGGUCUAGUGGCGCACGGGUGCGUAACGCGUGGGAAUCUGCCCAAAGGUUCGGAAUAACUCGGGGAAACCCGUGCUAAUACCGGAUAAUGUCUUCGGACCAAAGAUUUAUUGCCUUUGGAUGAGCCCGCGUCGGAUUAGCUAGUUGGUGAGGUAAAAGCUCACCAAGGCGACGAUCCGUAGCUGGUCUGAGAGGAUGAUCAGCCACACUGGGACUGAGACACGGCCCAGACUCCUACGGGAGGCAGCAGUGGGGAAUAUUGGACAAUGGGCGAAAGCCUGAUCCAGCAAUGCCGCGUGAGUGAUGAAGGCCCUAGGGUUGUAAAGCUCUUUUACCCGGGAUGAUAAUGACAGUACCGGGAGAAUAAGCCCCGGCUAACUCCGUGCCAGCCGCCGCGGUAAUUC
rnacentral:rRNA from 1 species